UACGAAGGGGGCUAGCGUUGCCCGGAAUCACUGGGCGUAAAGCGCACGUAGGCGGCUUUUUAAGUCAGAGGUGAAAUCCUGGAGCUCAACUCCAGAACUGCCUUUGAUACUGGAGAGCUUGAGUCCGGGAGAGGUGAGUGGAACUGCGAGUGUAGAGGUGAAAUUCGUAGAUAUUCGCAAGAACACCAGUGGCGAAGGCGGCUCACUGGCCCGGUACUGACGCUGAGGUGCGAAAGCGUGGGGAGCAAACAGG
rnacentral:rRNA from 1 species